rnacentral:rRNA from 1 species
CCCUAUGGGGUGCAGCAGGCGCGAAACCUUUACAAUGCACGAAAGUGUGAUAAGGGAAUCCCGAGUGCUCAUGGAGACAUGGGCUUUUGAUAAGAGUAAGUAUCUUGUCGAAUAAGUGGUGGGUAAGACUGGUGCCAGCCGCCGCGGUAACACCAGCGCCACGAGUGGGGGCCGCGUUUAUUGGGCCUAAAGCGUCCGUAGCCGGUCUGUUAAAUCUCUUGUGAAAUCGUAGGGCUUAACCUUACGGCUGGCAAGAGACACUGACAGACUCGAGACCGGGAGGGGCAAGAGGUAUUCCAGGGGUAGCGGUAAAAUGUUAUAAUCCCUGGAGGACCACCUGUGGCGAAGGCUUCUUGCUAGAACGGCUCUGACGGUGAGGGACGAAAGCCAGGGGAGCGAUCCGGAUUAGAUACCCGAGUAGUCCUGGCAGUAAACGCUGUGAGCAAGGUGUUGCAUAAUCUUCGCGAUUAUGCAGUGUCGAAACGAAGGUGUUAAGCUCACCGCCUGGGAAGUAUGGUCGCAAGACUGAAACUUAAAGGAAUUGGCGGGGGGAGCACUACAAGGGGUGCGGCGUGCGGUUUAAUCUAAUUCUACGCAGAGAAUCUCACCAGAAGCGACGGCAGGAUGAAAGUCAUGUUAAAGGCCUUACUUGACGAGCCGAGAGGUAGUGCAUG